UACAUAGGUCCCAAGCGUUAUCCGGAAUUACUGGGCGUAAAGCGUCUGCAGGUGGAAAAGUGUGUCAUAUAUGAAAGACCGGGGCUCAACCCCGUGUUUGUAUCUGAAACUGCUUUUCUCGAGUGAGCAAGAGGUAUGCGGAAUUUAUGGAGUAGGAGUGCAAUCCGUUGACACCAUAAAGAACACCAAAAGCGAAGGCAGCAUACUGGGGCUCUACUGACACUCAGAGACGAAAGCGUGGGGAGCGAAAGGG
rnacentral:rRNA from 1 species